rnacentral:rRNA from 1 species
AUUGAACGCUGGCGGCAGGCCUAACACAUGCAAGUCGAGCGGAGCGGCGGACGGGUGAGUAAUGCCUAGGAAUCUGCCUGGUAGUGGGGGAUAACGUCCGGAAACGGGCGCUAAUACCGCAUAAUAUCAGCUGAGCCUAGGGCGGAUUAGCUAGUUGGUGGGGUAAAGGGUUACCAAGGCGACGAUCCGUAACUGGUCUGAGAGGAUGAUCAGUCACACUGGAACUGGGACACGGUGCAGACGCCUACGGGAGGCAGCAGUGGUGAAUAGUGGACAAUGGGCGAAAGCCUGAUCCAGCCAUGCCGCGUGUGUGAAGAAGGUCUUCGGAUUGUAAAGCACUUGAAGUUGGGAGGCGUUACCAACAGAGUAAGCACCGGCUAACUUCGUGCCAGCAGCCGCGGUAAUAC